GCCAACCGAGAGGCGGGCCGUUCACAUUUUGAACUGAGUCCUGCACGCCCACACCACACGCCCCGCUUUGACACUACAGUCAGUCCUCCAUUCACUUCCUCAACUCCUGUCACGUAACGCACCUUUCUUUUUCCCCUUCAAAGAAGAAUUUAUCCUUGUGUUUGCUUCUCUUGCCGCUUCUUUAUACCAACACAAAUUCCUUCUAUUGCUUGCAUCUUUCCCUCCGCUCUCCAAACCCUCCCGCUCUUCCUUUUUUCUUCCACUCUCAUGGCGAGCUGGAACGAAGAUCCCACCUCUACACCUCAGCCUUCGCAAUUUCACUUUCAUCUCCAAAAUCAAAGCCAAUCUUCUCCUUCUACUUCUACUCCUGAGAUUGAGAAUCCGCUCUUCUUUUCCUCUCUUCGUAAACCACAUCAUCCUCUUUCCUCUUCUCUUCCUCCUUCUAACACUCCUUUAGCUUUUCAAUUGCAUGCUGCUAACACGCAUUCGGCUUUCGCUAAACUCGAGUUGAAGCAAAAUAAUGAAAAAUACAAUCAUGAGACUAAGUAUAGUGGACAAGCAACCAUCCCUACUCGUAGCAAAUUGGUUGCUGGUCAUACACUUGGUCCUUCGUCCGCCGCUGGCAGUGAGCGAAACAAUAGAUCAAAGGCUCCAAAAAAUGGCAAAUUAGGGAUUCAAAGAUCAAAUUCAGAGUCUCUUAAUGGUGUGAAUCCGGCUACUGGUUGUCGCUAUGACAGUUCUUUAGGCCUAUUGUCCAAGAAAUUUGUCAAGUUGAUCCAGGAGGCCAAGGAUUGCACCCUUGAUCUCAACAGAACUGCAGAUGUGUUGGAGGUCCAAAAGAGGAGAAUAUAUGAUAUUACAAAUGUUUUGGAAGGAAUAGCAUUGAUAGAAAAAACGUCAAAAAACCACAUACGGUGGAAGGGCUAUGACGGUUGUGGGCCAGAGGAGUUUGAUAAUCAUGUUAACAGAUUAAAGGUAAUUGCAUGUUUAUUUAAUUUGUUUCAUCUAACAGAAACUUCAUGCAGGGUCCAUAGUCCUUCCACUGAUAUUAUGAUGGAUUGAUUGCCUUGUUGCAUGAUAAGGGCCUCAAUUUCUUUCUCGGCUGAUGUUGAAAGCUUACAUGCUGAAGAAUGCAGGGUCGAUGAAUCUAUAAGGGAAAAGCAAGAGCUUCUGAGGAUCCUGGAGGAAGAUGAAAAUAACAAAAGGCAUCUCUUUUUGAAGGAGGAAGAUAUCACAAGCCUUCCAUGCUUCCAGAAUCAAAUGCUCAUUGCAAUAAAAGCUCUUCAAGCUAGUUAUCUUGAAGUUCCUGAUCCUGAUGGGGGACAUUGGUCCUCCUCAGUAUAAAAGGAUUGUUAGAACUUAGAAGCAACACUGGACCAAUUGAUUUGUACCUCUUGAGGUACUUUCUUUACUUGCAUGCAUGUAUUUGCACAUCCAUUCUGAACUAACACUAUUUGUUUGAAGUGUGACGGUUUCUGCAGUGUCCUUACUUGUGAUCCUACCUGACCAUUGCAUAUUAUCUAGGACACGCGAGUGAAUAUAAGUGCUUGUUGCUUGUUUGUUCUAUAUUUGAUGUUAUCGCAACUAUAUUCUUGAUGCUUGUAGCAAAUACAAAAAACAAGUUGAGGAUGUAGCUGUCAAUCAUGCUAAACUACUGAAUCCUUGCCGUCCUCAAGGAGUGGAAACUGAAGAGCUAUCUUUAGACCAACAGAAUGAUCGAAACAAUGUUGGUGAGUUGUUCAGCUCAGCAUACUCAGAGUCGUCUGGAAUUCAGAAGAUAGGAACUGCAGACUAUGAUGAUAAGUAUAACUGGAAGCUUUAAGUUGACCUCACGAUUUCUUGCCCUUCAAGUAUAUACACAUGUUUAGGACAUUUGGUUGCUCAUGUGGAAGCUCAUUUUGACUAACUAGUUUGUAUAUAAUCCAUUGGCCAUCCUGUUGCAGAUUGAUGAUGAUUAUUGGUUUCAAUCCAACCCCAAAGUCAGCAUUUCAGAGUUGUGGGGGGAGUGGGAGUAAAUAGCAUCCAAACAGUGAGAUUCAUGAAGUUAUGAUUUUUGAAACAGUUGAACCUGUCGUAUAAUUUGAAGGCCUAACUUAUUGUUAGUCAGAAUGAUUCACGUGUUCAUCAGGUACUUCCUUGAUACUUCUGGGAAGAGUUGGUCACUGCUGUUUUGUGAGGUAAAAGAAAAUCAGGUUGUUUAAGAUGACCUGAAGGGGGUGCUUAUUACAAGUUUACACCCCCUUUGCACUUGGAAGUGUAAAUUUUGUAGAUAGAUUUUUUUAAUUUUUUCCCUUUAACUUAACUCUAACCAUUUAAGAAGUUUUAGGAAAUGGAUGCUGGAUUUCGCCAGUUGUCUUUUAUCUCUAAUCUUAAGGAGAACCCUUAAUUAUCAGUUUCAUUUUGGAUUUGUUUCAUCGUAAGUGUACUGGUCAUACUGGCCAUAUUGAUGUUGUACCUAGCGCCAGUGGGCAGUAUUUCGGGCUGAAGAGUUGAAGUGUUUUUAU
rnacentral:misc_RNA from 1 species